rnacentral:RNase_P_RNA from 1 species
UGGGGAAGCGGAUGCGAUCGCUUUGUUUACAAAGAGGAAAGUCCGGGCUCCGCAGAGCAGGAUGGUCGAUAACGUCGACCGGCCGCAAGGUCAGGGAAAGUGCAACAGAAAGCAAACCGCCGAGGCAACUCGGUAAGGGUGAAACGGUGGGGUAAGAGCCCACCAGAGCGGGUGGUGACAUCCGUUGCUUGGCAAACCCCAUCCGGAGCAAGGCCAAACAGAAAGCCGGCUUGCAUGCAAGCCACACGUCAGCUCGGCGUGUCGUGUUUUUGGGUAGGCCGCUCGACGCGCCGAGCAAUCGGCGCGCUAGAUAAAUGAUUGCAGCGCAAGCAACAGAACCCGGCUUACGAGCUUCCCCAGGGC